rnacentral:rRNA from 1 species
AGUGAACGCUGGCGGUAGGCCUAACACAUGCAAGUCGAACGGCAGCACAGUAGGAGCUUGCUCUUACGGGUGGCGAGUGGCGGACGGGUGAGGAAUACAUCGGAAUCUACUUUUUCGUGGGGGAUAACGUAGGGAAACUUACGCUAAUACCGCAUACGACCUACGGGUGAAAGAAGGGGAUCUUCGGACCUUGCCCGAUUGAAUGACCCGAUGUCGGAUUAGCUAGUUGGCGGGGUAAAGGCCCACCAAGGCGACGAUCCGUAGCUGGUCUGAGAGGAUGAUCAGCCACACUGGAACUGAGACACGGUCCAGACUCCUACGGGAGGCAGCAGUGGGGAAUAUUGGACAAUGGGCGCAAGCCUGAUCCAGCCAUACCGCGUGGGUGAAGAAGGCCUUCGGGUUGUAAAGCCCUUUUGUUGGGAAAGAAAAGCAGCAGGUUAAUACCCCGCUGUUCUGACGGUACCCAAAGAAUAAGCACCGGCUAACUUCGUG